AGAGUUUGAUCCUGGCUCAGAACGAACGCUGGCGGCAGGCUUCAUACAUGCAAGUCGAGCGGAAAGGCCCCUUCGGGGGUACUCGAGCGGCGAACGGGUGAGUAACAGGUGGGUAAUCUGCCUUUCGGAGGGGGAUAACGGCUGGAAACGGCCGCUAAUACCCCGUACGGUUGUGAAGCUCUCGGGCUUUGCAAAGAAAGGGGCCUUUAAAGCCCCGCCGAAAGAUGAGCCCGCCCCCCAUUAGCUAGUUGGCGGGGUAAUGGCCCACCAAGGCUGUGAUGGGUAGCCGAGCUGAGAGGUUGAUCGGCCACACUGGAACUGAGACACGGUCCAGACACCUACGGGUGGCAGCAGUAGGGAAUAUUGCGCAAUGGGCGAAAGCCUGACGCAGCCAUGCCGCGUGGAUGAUGAAGGCCUUCGGGUCGUAAAGUCCUUUUCUGAGGGAGGAACUGCCGGGGGAGGAAAUGCCCUUGGCUUGACGGUACCUCAGGAAUAAGCAACGGCUAACUCCGUGCCAGCAGCCGCGGUAAUACGGAGGUUGCAAGCGUUGUUCGGAAUGACUGGGCGUAAAGGGAGCGCAGGCGGCCAAGUCAGUCUGAAGUGAAAGCCCGGGGCUUAACCCCGGAAUAGCUUUGGAUACUGCCUGGCUUGAGUGUGCGAUAGGAAAGCGGAAUUCCAGGUGUAGCGGUGAAAUGCGUAGAUAUCUGGAGGAACACCGGUGGCGAA
rnacentral:rRNA from 1 species